CCCUUAGAUGUUCUAGGCCGCACGCGCGCUACACUGACGAAUGCAACGAGCUUAUAACCUUGGCCGAAAGGUCUGGGUAAUCUCCAAAUUUCGUCGUGAUGGGGAUAGAUUAUUGCAAUUAUUAAUCUUCAACGAGGAAUGCCUAGUAAGCGCAAGUCAUCAGCUUGCGUUGAUUACGUCCCUGCCCUUUGUACACACCGCCCGUCGCUCCUACCGAUUGAAUGGUCCGGUGAAGCGUUCGGACCGUGGCCUUUGGACGGUUCGCCGUCUGUUGGCUGCGGGAAGUUCGUUAAACCUUAUCAUUUAGAGGAAGGAGAAGUCGUAACA
rnacentral:rRNA from 1 species